rnacentral:rRNA from 1 species
AACUAACGCUGGCGGCGUGCCUAACACAUGCAAGUCGAACGAGAAAGUUGGCUUCGGCCGAUGAGUAAAGUGGCGCACGGGUGAGUAACGCGUGGAUAAUCUGCCCUUUAGUUUGGAAUAACGUACCGAAAGGUGCGCUAAUACCGGAUAAUACUGAAUGACUACUGUCGUUUAGUCAAAGAAGGCUUCUGUUUACAUGCUUUUGCUGAAGGAUGAGUCCGCGUACC